UUUACUAUUCGUCUUUAGUGUUUUUAUACGCCCGGGACGGGACGUAUUAUGGUAUACCGUUGUCCGUCCGUCCGUCCGUCCGUCUGUCCGUCCGUCCGUCGUCCACACUUCGGACAAUAACUCAAAAACACCUACACCAAUUUCCAUGAAACUUAAGUGAAUUGUUUAUAUCUAUUGAUGUAAGCUCCCUUUCGUUUUUUUUUAAUUUCAGAUUUUAAGUUUUGGAUUUA
rnacentral:lncRNA from 1 species